rnacentral:lncRNA from 1 species
UAUGAACAGUUUUGGAUUGGUCUCGGUAGACUGGAUUAAAUUUUAUUCGCCAUAUUAUGCUACUGAAAAUUUUAUGGGUCUGGUGGUAUAUUAAACGGUCACUGCAGUGGUGGGGGUUUCCGUGGACUGCUUAUGAGAGGGGCACGGUAACCCAAUUAUAUAUUUACCUCCGGGGGGAGAUGUUGGAUGAAGUAUCUCCUGAGGUAAGAUUUGAAUGCACCUCACGGUCAUUGCAGUG